CAGCAGCCGCGGUAAUACGUAGGUGGCAAGCGUUGUCCGGAAUUAUUGGGCGUAAAGGGCUCGCAGGCGGCUUCUUAAGUCUGAUGUGAAAGCCCCCGGCUCAACCGGGGAGGGUCAUUGGAAACUGGGAAACUUGAGUGCAGAAGAGGAGAGUGGAAUUCCACGUGUAGCGGUGAAAUGCGUAGAGAUGUGGAGGAACACCAGUGGCGAAGGCGACUCUCUGGUCUGUAACUGACGCUGAGGAGCGAAAGCGUGGGGAGCGAACAGGAUUAGAGACCCCGGUAGUCCCUGUCUCUUAUAC
rnacentral:rRNA from 1 species